UACAGAGGUCCCAAGCGUUGUUCGGAUUCAUUGGGCGUAAAGGGUGCGUAGGCGGCGCGGUAAGUCGGGUGUGAAAUCUCGGGGCUUAACUCCGAAACUGCAUUCGAUACUGCCGUGCUUGAGGACUGGAGAGGAGACGUGGAAUUUACGGUGUAGCGGUGAAAUGCGUAGAUAUCGUAAGGAAGACCGUGGCGAAGGCGG
rnacentral:rRNA from 1 species